GAGGGGCUUGUGUGAAAGAGCAACUGGUCAGAUUUAAUGCCUGGUGCUUGGAGACGGGAUGGUAUGCCUGAAACAUUCUGGUGAAAUGUAGAACGUCUCCUGGAAAUUGCUACCUGGAUUCUCUGGAUACCUUUUAUGUGGUGUAUAUGAAGCAUCUGGAUAUUAAAUGAAGAGUUAAAUAAUGGAUCUCCUGUGUAUGGAGCACAGUAAAAAUUACACAGUGAGUUUUUAUAACUUUUUUAAUAUAAUAAAGUUAAAGAGACUGAAUGCUGGUUUUAUGAUAUGAGAUUUCCAGAAUGCUCCCAAGUCAGCAAC